UACGUAGGUGGCAAGCGUUGUCCGGAUUUACUGGGCGUAAAGAGCGCGCAGGCGGUCGUUCAAGUCGCGUGUGAAAGCCCCCGGCUCAACUGGGGAGGGUCACGCGAUACUGAUCGACUCGAAGGCAGGAGAGGGAAGUGGAAUUCCCGGUGUAGUGGUGAAAUGCGUAGAUAUCAGGAAGAACACCCGUGGCUAAGGCGGCUCUCUAGUACGGUACUGACGCUGAGACGCGAAAGCGUGGGGAGCGAACAGG
rnacentral:rRNA from 1 species